UGGCGAGUGGCGAACGGGUGAGUAAUACAUCGGAACGUGCCCUGUCGUGGGGGAUAACUAGUCGAAAGAUUAGCUAAUACCGCAUACGACCUGAGGGUGAAAGCGGGGGACCGUAAGGCCUCGCGCGAUAGGAGCGGCCGAUGUCUGAUUAGCUAGUUGGUGGGGUAAAGGCCCACCAAGGCGACGAUCAGUAGCUGGUCUGAGAGGACGAUCAGCCACACUGGGACUGAGACACGGCCCAG
rnacentral:rRNA from 1 species